ensembl:lncRNA
CCCGCCUUGACAUUUGCGGCCAACAAAUUGAAAUGCAAGUUGUAAUAGUCACGGGAAUGAUUGAUGUCUUUCUGCUGGUCUCACACGAACUGGAGGGGAAAAAAACAGAAAAGCAGCACAGUAGGGUGCACAUACAAAACAUUUAUGCACGCAAACGCACACAUACAGGAGAUAUGACAGAGGGAAGCCUGCGGUGGCGAGUGCACACAGAGUGUCAGAGCAUGCAGAGAGAAGAAGGGAAAGGGGGGCUGUAUAUUUAGGCCAUGUUGCGGUGUAGGUCGAGGCAUGCAAUGUUUUUCAGGGAGUCGGAGGGGUGAGUGACAGAGCUGUGAUGUGGGGUAGAUGCGUGGGACACUCCACGCUGAAAUUACAAGGCAGCAAAGUAGAGGAGGAAUGAGAUGAACUUGUUUGCGUUAUGCCUCAUUGCAUGCAGCAGAAACAAUGCAGUGAAAGAGACUCUGUGCGUCGGGGCCCACAACAACGUGUGUUUAGCUUGAACAACUUUCCCAAGGGAAGCCCUGUUCUGUUUUAAAAUGGCAACCGUCCAUCCUCUCAAUAUAGCCAAACCUCCACUGGCAUGCUUUACGGUAAUCUAUAUAACGUCCUGCCUGACAAAGAGCACAGAAUGCUGCAAGGUGUGAGCUUUUCAAUGCAGGCUACUGUAAGCUCUUAAAUAAAUUUCCCAUAACCAUGUAUGAGGUUUUUAGAGUCUUAAGCUUCCCUUUAAAAAAAAAAAAAAGAAAAAGCUGAGUAAAACUUUCUUACAUGGGCAAUUACCAUAAAACGUUCUUUUUUACAUGGCAUUAGUCACACAGAGGCAGUCAUUCUGUCCGACACUCGUCAAGAGCAGACUGCAAGCAUUCGUCCUAUUAGCUCCAAAUUCUUUCCACGUUGUUACUCUCAUGUCUCUCUCUCUCUUUUUUUUCCUCCUUGUUUCCAGCUAAAAAUACUCUGGUGGCUGAUUGGUGUGAAAGGGAGAAGAUUAUCUGGUGGAAAAGUGUUUGCUUGCAUGCAGUCGUUCGUUGAGUUGAAAUCCUCGAGAAUUAAGGCGGGAAAGGUUUUGGCAUUGCAAAGCUUUUUGGUCUUUCUGGAACAAACAGGUGUUACUGAUUGAAAGGGUAGCGCAGAAGAUUAUAUAAAAACACGCUUGGCCAAAGCGUCUGGUUUUCAAAGUUUCGCUAAAGAAUGCUAUCUUCAGAUCUGUCAGCAGUUGAAAGAGUAAUCCUUCUGUCUCGGUGGAUUUGUAGGGUUUUUAUAUAUCAUUAUUUCUUAGAUGAAUCUCUGGAGAGUGCUGACACAGACGAGCAGAUUAGGGCAAGAUUCUAAUGUUUCUCCCAAGGGACGUUAGUUUUGCAUUAGAACCAAAUCCCUCCACAAAAUAAUGAUCAAAAAAUGUGUUUUCCCGCUUGAUAAUCUUCCCAUUUCCCCUCUUUUUGUUUCUCACUUUCAUUAAGUCUUGCAAGUACAAAGGGAAUCACUGCAGGAGAAGUCUGGACGUGAUAUUUUGAAUCAUAUCUGUUAUUAACCUCUGUCUCUCUUCCACAGCAUGUCUUUAUCCUGUCUUCCUUCUCUCACCCCAACCGGUCGCAGCAGAUGGCCCCGCCCCUCCCUGAGCCUGGUUCUGCCGGAGGUUUCUUCCUGUUAAAAGGGAGUUUUUCCUUCCCACUGUCGCCAAAGUGCUUGCUCAUAGGGGGUCAUAUGAUUGUUGGGUUUUUCUCUGUAUCUAUGAAGCGCCUUGAGGCGACUUUUGUUGUGAUUUGGCGCUAUAUAAAUAAAAUUGAAUUGAAUUGAAUUGAAU